rnacentral:rRNA from 1 species
GACGAACGCUGGCGGCGUGCCUAAUACAUGCAAGUAGAACGCUGAAGAGAGGAGCUUGCUCUUCUUGGAUGAGUUGCGAACGGGUGAGUAACGCGUAGGUAACCUGCCUUGUAGCGGGGGAUAACUAUUGGAAACGAUAGCUAAUACCGCAUAACAAUAGGUGACACAUGUCAUUUAUUUGAAAGGGGCAAUUGCUCCACUACAAGAUGGACCUGCGUUGUAUUAGCUAGUAGGUGAGGUAACGGCUCACCUAGGCGACGAUACAUAGCCGACCUGAGAGGGUGAUCGGCCACACUGGGACUGAGACACGGCCCAGACUCCUACGGGAGGCAGCAGUAGGGAAUCUUCGGCAAUAGGGGCAACCCUGACCGAGCAACGCCGCGUGAGUGAAGAAGGUUUUCGGAUCGUAAAGCUCGGUUGUAAGUCAAGAACGAGUGUGAGAGUGGAAAGUUCACACUGUGACGGUAGCUUACCAGAAAGGGACGGCUAACUACGUG